UACGUAGGGGGCAAGCGUUUGUCCGGAAUCAUUGGGCGUAAAGCGCGUGUAGGCGGCUCGGUAAGUCUGCUGUGAAAGUCCAGGGCUCAACCCUGGAAUGCCGGUGGAUACUGUCGAGCUUGAGUCCGGAAGAGGCGAGUGGAAUUCCUGGUGUAGCGGUGAAAUGCGCAGAUAUCAGGAGGAACACCAAUGGCGAAGGCAGCUCGCUGGGACGUGACUGACGCUGAGACGCGAAAGCGUGGGGAGCAAACAGG
rnacentral:rRNA from 1 species